rnacentral:lncRNA from 1 species
GCCUCUUUGCUCAAGCUGCACAUACACAAGACUACCGAAAACAAGCAUCACGCAUAGAGAACUCAAAUUAAAAAGAUACUAACACCAAAACAACUCACUUUACUACCUAACAUUGCAACUAACACACUAAUCAACGAAAAACAAAACAAUGCGAAAAAAAACAUAAACAUACCAUAACAUUGUUACCGAAUUGAUCGACUUAUCAACAAAAACAAGACUAAAAUCUAAUAGAAAUGGUGACCGAUCACAACCCCAAACUUAUCUCAUUGCUUGUCCUCAAGUGAUGCAAGCGACAUAUGCAAAGGUCACCCUGAAUUCAUUCUUUCCACAACCACCAAUGUUAUUCGCCACUGUUCCUACCUUCUUGAUUUGGUUUCUGAUGACACUAACCAGACUCUUGCUGCAUUUCCACAUCAAAGUAUCUCAGUACCUGCAAGCUUUUCUCACUUCUCACACAUUCUCUCUUGGUUAAAAGUGUUUCGCUCAUACAAUCAUGAUAUGCAAUAUCGACUCUUGAAUUUGAAUCAAUUCUACUUUCAUAACAUUGACAGAAUACACACACUUUAUGAGGACUUUCGGGUUGUAACUGGGCUUAGGACAGGUGGGAUACACAAGGAAAUGGACAGCUAGUGGUUUAUUUGGUUCGGUACUCAUGUCAUGCUUCUCGUGUUUGUGCUCACUUAGUGAUCUCGGGGUGAUUUCUCAAACUUUUUAUUCACUUAAUUCUUGAGUUUCUCUUUAGAACAAUGCAAGUGUUGUCUUUUUUUUUUUCAGUCUUAGAUCACUCGGGUAUCUUAGACUAUAUUUUUUUUCUUUUCUCUUUUUUUUUUAAUUUUUAAUUUUUUUCUUUCUUUCUUCGCCUUUCUUUUACACGUAUCACCCCAAACUUGAAUUAUUGCACACUUUCAAGAAACACCACAUUCGUACUAAACAAGGGUAAGGAGUGUUUGGCCAAUGGUUUAUACAUGUGGUUGAAAACAAACAAAUGGAUACAGGCUCAACAGGGUUAGCAAAGGAUAAAAUUAAUGAAAAUGGAUGGCUAAAAGGCUCAGGGGUUUUAAACAAACAAGUGCCUCAGUGUGUGUCCUCCAGUCAAGUCGUGUCUAUAGAACGGACGCAAAUUCAGAGGGAUAGAGUCAUACCUGACGAACUCUCAUGAUGCUUAUCUGAUGAAUUUGGCUUUUUGUGAUCUCACCAUGUGGGGUAAGCUUACAGGUUCCAGAACACUCCGAGUGUCAUGCAGCUCCUUCCCGUAUCAGGUACACCAUCCACCAGCCCAGUCAAGUAUCGACAGCAGCGUCCAACUUUCAAUUGGUGGUACCACUUCCAGGGUGCCUUGGGAGACAAAUUGAGGUUGUAUUCUCAUCCACUAACUAUCGAUCUGUCAGUUUCCAGUCUCUGUCAAUCAAGCCUGUAACAAUUACGGUAGACGCAAAAACAUAACAAAAAAACGAAAAACAUAACAAAACAAAACACAAUAAUAAAAUAAAACAACAAAACAACAAACAAUGAAAGGACCCCUCCCACACCUAAACUGAACAUUGUCCCAAAUGUUUCAGCUUAAGUGCAGAAAGGACUUACUACUGAGGCGGUGGGAAUUGCAGCAUUAACUGCUGCAUCAUGCGC